rnacentral:rRNA from 1 species
GUGGGGAAUAUUGGGCAAUGGGCGCAAGCCUGACCCAGCAACGCCGCGUGAGGGAAGAAGGCUUUCGGGUUGUAAACCUCUGUCCUUGGUGACGAAAAAAAUGACGGUAGCCAAGGAGGAAGCCCCGGCUAACUACGUGCCAGCAGCCGCGGUAAUACGUAGGGGGCGAGCGUUGUCCGGAAUUACUGGGCGUAAAGGGUGCGUAGGUGGCCUUUUAAGUUGGAUGUGAAAUCCCCGGGCUUAACUUGGGUGGUGCAUCUAAUACUGGAGGGCUAGAGUGCAGGAGAGGGAAGCGGAAUUCCUAGUGUAGCGGUGAAAUGCGUAGAUAUUAGGAGGAACACCGAUGGCGAAGGCAAUCCCCUGGGCCUGCACUGACGCUCAUGCACGAAAGCGUGAGGAGCAAACAGGAUUAGAAACCCUAGUAGUCC